GAGCUUUCUCACCUACAUUGAAGCAGCUUCGAGUAAUUUUAGGGUUGUGGUAAUCUAGGGUUUGUCAUUGAAGCGCGCACGGCUCCACCUUCACCACAACCACCUCCACCAUUAUUCAGCUUUGCAAAACCAGUCAUAAACUCAGCCCAUUCCUUCCUUCCUCUCUCCUUCUAACACUAUGAAUUCAUGAAAAUUAACUUCCAGUAGAUUCAAGCAUAAACGAAGUUCUUAUUUUCGUAUUUGAUUGGGAGAAUAAAAUGUAUUGAGCAUUUGGGUGAGAUUGAAACUCCAGAAAAAUGGCGGAAUGUGGGACUGUGCCAUCGAAUUUUAAGCUGCAAUUGCAAACAAAUGGGUCUUGGUUCAAACCCCAGAAUUCAUACCCGUAUCAUAAGAGAGCAAGAACUUAGGGAGGUUGGUAAACUUGAACAGGAUCUUGUCUUUGGUGAUGCUGGAACUAAAGAAGUUAUCAAAUUUGUAAGCAUGCAUACGGAUUUAAGCCAUGAGAAUAAGUUGCGAUUAUUGAUGGUUUAUGCAGCUAUUUACCCUAAGAAAUUUGAGGGUGACAAAGGUUCACAGUUGAUGCAGGCAUUUGAUUGGCUUCUUUCUUUUCCUAUCCCUAACCAUAUACACUGCAACUACAGUCUCAGAUGUUUCAGAUUACUACCCUCUGCAACACUUUGCUGAGAUGCUCAAUAAAGCUGGUUUGCAUGAUGUUCACUCAACGCUUGUAUAUUGCCUCACAUCCUUUUCUAAGAUGCCUGAUUUCGGUACACUAAGUGGUGAAUUGAUGGCAUCCCUUCCGUAUAUCAAUUCACUGUCAUCUGUUUCUAGGUGGCAUAUUAUGGAACAUUUGUCAAACUGCUUGCCUGAGCGUUUCUCUCAUUUAAAUGAGACUAAUGAUCCUUCCUUGUGGAGUGUGAAAGAUAAUUUGAUCAAUACAAUUGCACACCUCUAGCUCAGAUUUGAGUUGUACAUUUAAAACUUUUGGAAGUUGGAUGCGUACCUCUAGCUUUAGAAUCAUGAUUGUGAAAAAAAAAUUGUCAGACUGGAAAAAGGAGGUGCAAUUUAUAAGCCAGAAAGUGGAGGUGAUGCUAAUACAGAGAAGAAACAGAACAAAGUUAAUCAGGCUGAAAAUACAAAGAAAUUAUCUGAGGAAAAAAGGCUCAUGAAGAAGCAAGAAAGGUCGCGUAAAGCAGAAUUGAAGGAUGAAACCGCAAAACAGAAACAGUUGGCAAAAGAGAGGAAGAAGUUAGAGAAACAUAAGUUCAGUGAGAAAGACAUUGUGGCUGUGAUUGAUCCAAAGGUUCUGUCAGGUUUAGUUGGAGGUAGGCUUGGUAAGGGUAUACUCGUUAUCUCAUAAACACUUACCAUGCUGUGAGGUUUCUCAAAUUCCCUUGCAAUGGUGAUAUGGGCAUCCAGCCGAUUGUAAAACUGGAACACAAUCAAUAUAUAGACCCUAGCUUGACUGUUUGUGAUAGUAUUGUCUCUAAAAAUCUAAUAUGCACAAUAAAUAUAUUGACCUACCUUGAUGGUUUGUGAUAGUAAUCUCUUUGAAAAUCUAAUAUUUAUAUCUUACUUGAGAUUGUCCUACAUGUUCACCAGCACAGCACCACAACAGCUCACCAGUACCGCAACACAGAGGACCACGCAGCAGCAGCAGCAGAACCCAGUAAACACAGCAGCCUGACCCAGAGCAGCCAAACCAGCAAGCAACACAACACUACAGCAUAGUAGCAAACACCCAGCACAUCCUGACCAGAGCAGAACAGAAACACAGCAACUCAAGAACUCAAACCAGUCACCCAGCCAGCCAAAAAAUAACAGAGACUUAGCCACAGAAGCAAACAGAUGCCCAGCCAGCCUGAACAGAAACAGCAGCACAACAAACACUAGAGCAGUAGGUCAGCCUGAACACACAACAACACAGCAGAACAGAAGCAAAACCAAUCAUCCAGCCAGCCUGGACAAAGCAAAAACACAGCCACAAAAGCAGAACAGACGCCCAGCAAGCCUAAACAGGACAGAGGCACAGCAAGCGCAACAGAACAGAAACAGCAGCACAACAAACAGCAGAGCAGCCUGUCAGCCUGAACACACAACAACCAGCAGAGUAGCCACCAGCAUAAGACCAGGAUAACUAGUUAAAUGAAAUGCAAGAAAGGUACUCACAGAUAAGUCUGGAUUAUUUAAUUUUUUUUGGACGAAAAUUGUAAUAUUACAGCCUUUUUUUAAUGAAAAUA